UACGUAGGGACCGAGCGUUGUCCGGAAUCAUUGGGCGUAAAGAGCGUGUAGGCGGCCUUUUAAGUCCUGCGUGAAAUCCUGCGGCUCAACCGCAGACGGUCGUGGGAAACUGGAAGGCUAGAGUGCGGGAGAGGAGAGUGGAAUUCCCGGUGUAGCGGUGAAAUGCGCAGAUAUCGGGAAGAACACCCGUGGCGAAGGCGGCUCUCUGGAACGCAACUGACGCUGAGACGCGAAAGCGUGGGGAGCAAACGGG
rnacentral:rRNA from 1 species